rnacentral:lncRNA from 1 species
GUGUUUGCCUGUACUUUCACUUCCUGUGAAAGGUCUGACAGAUGAAGCUACCACUUUAGCCACUGCUACCCAAGUUCAAAGGAGUUCAGUGUUGACUAGGAGGACAUGAUCUGCUGGAACAACUUUGGUAAGCCUACUAUAUGGUGGCCACUGCCUUGUCUCUUGGCACAGGCUGUUUGGUUCUGUGCUACCUCCCAGUGCUUACCACAGACAGUGCCACUCUGUACUGUCUGUAUAGGAAGAGGAGGAACAACAAAUUCUUCUAAUUCCCCAUCUAGGGUCCUUGUGGCCUAGAUGGGAGAAACAAAAGGAGAGACAUUUCUGUGAGUGUCACCAUUGGGGGUGUCUUAAGCUAUUACUACUUACUCCCUGUAUAAUCUUCUUUAUCUGACAAAUACAUCAAAAGCAGGAAGCAGAAGUAGUGUAUGUUCUUUAUAAGUAAUGUCAUGUGCUUAUUUUUGCAGUGAUUGACCUAGUGAACUUACACAAUGGCUUCUGCCUACUGUGAAGACUUGAGUGAUGGACCUCAGCAUUUUUGCUGACAAGUUAAAGGACCUAGUUGGAGGAGCACUUGUCUUUCAAGUCAGCUGAAGCACCGCAUAUAAACAUGUCAUGAAGGAAGCAUUGAAAGAGGUGAGAGCAGGAUCCUAAAAAUUCUGUCCUAGCAGCUGUCAAACACGCACUGUGAAGGUAGAACAGUUUGCCGUGAAUGAUGAUGACUUUUUCCCUGACGCUCGCGUGAGGGUUAAGAACUGAUUUAAUGAGCCUGACACGGUAUGCUCUUUAUUGUGAGGAUUGGUGUAAUAACCUGCAGGUUUUCACUGAAUACCAUUAUCUACCAGAAUGUUAUAAUGGCAUAUGAAUUGUGCUCCCCCUCCUUUUCCCAAACAGCUGGAGGAGGAGGAAGAAGACUAAGUCUGAAGAGGAAAAUGGGGAUGUGGAGACAAAAGCAAAGAGGAAAAACUGCAAGGUGAAGAUAUGAAGAAAGAGAGACUUGGUUGGAGAACUUGGCUAAGAAAAGUGAAACAGCCUUUGGAACAGGUGCAAGUUGCAGCAGAAAUGCAAGACUUGUACAGUGUUAUUCUGAUAGUGUAUACAAUAAAAUUGCUUGGAAGACUUUUUUUUUAGGUAUG